GGAAGGGGGAGGGGUUAGGGGGGGGGGCUAUCUGCAGUCGACGAACUCUGGUAUUGAUUGGUGCUUGCAUCAUGAUUUACAUUUGAGUGAGUGGCGAACUGGUGAGUAACACGUGGGAAACCUGCCCAGAAGCGGGGGAUAACACCUGGAAACAGAUGCUAAUACCGCAUAACAACUUGGACCGCAGGGUCCGAGUUUGAAAGAUGGCUUCGGCUAUCACUUUUGGAUGGUCCCGCGGCGUAUUAGCUAGAUGGUGGGGUAACGGCUCACCAUGGCAAUGAUACGUAGCCGACCUGAGAGGGUAAUCGGCCACAUUGGGACUGAGACACGGCCCAAACUCCUACGGGAGGCAGCAGUAGGGAAUCUUCCACAAUGGACGAAAGUCUGAUGGAGCAACGCCGCGUGAGUGAAGAAGGGUUUCGGCUCGUAAAACUCUGUUGUUAAAGAAGAACAUAUCUGAGAGUAACUGUUCAGGUAUUGACGGUAUUUAACCAGAAAGCCACGGCUAACUACGUGCCAGCAGCCGCGGUAAUACGUAGGUGGCAAGCGUUGUCCGGAUUUAUUGGGCGUAAAGCGAGCGCAGGCGGUUUUUUAAGUCUGAUGUGAAAGCCUUCGGCUCAACCGAAGAAGUGCAUCGGAAACUGGGAAACUUGAGUGCAGAAGAGGACAGUGGAACUCCAUGUGUAGCGGUGAAAUGCGUAGAUAUAUGGAAGAACACCAGUGGCGAAAGCGGCUGUCUGGUCUGUAACUGACGCUGAUGCUCGAAAGUAUGGGUAGCAAACAGGAUUAGAUACCCUGGUAGUCCAUACCGUAAACGAUGAAUGCUAAGUGUUGGAGGGUUUCCGCCCUUCAGUGCUGCAGCUAACGCAUUAAGCAUUCCGCCUGGGGAGUACGGCCGCAAGGCUGAAACUCAAAGGAAUUGACGGGGGCCCGCACAAGCGGUGGAGCAUGUGGUUUAAUUCGAAGCUACGCGA
rnacentral:rRNA from 2 species